AUAUACGUAUACAUAUAUGUUCUUGUCCACGGACUCAAAUGUGUUAAUAGUGUGUGUAUUUGUCCGCCUUUGGACUAAAAAUCCAUUUACUGAUUCUUUUUAUUUGGUGAAAGAACAUUUUUGAAGGCUGUGGUUUGCUACUAUUUUUUUAAAUUGGAAGUUGCGGUUGACGUAAAGUUGCAGAGAAAAAGAUGUAUUCCCUCGUGCGGAUUGUAGAAAGUAUGCAGAUUUUCGAGUCCAAGAAGUUACAGUGGAAUGGACGCUACACAGCUCUCUACAGAGAGAAAGGCACUCAGGCGUUGGCUUUCGUAAUAGCCAAAAGCGAUUAUCGAAAUGUUUUGAUUAAACGGGGAAAAAUUAACUAAAUUUAAAAUCGUGUGACGCUUCACCUUAUGGCAAGACCAAAAGGCGUAGGUGGACUGUAAGCGAUAAAGAUGCUGUAUUUUCCCAAUUUGGCGACAUUUUGCUGCUGGAAAAACUACCAAGCACAAGCGAAUGUUUAUACGCUAUAAGAAAGUAUCCAUCACUUCAAGAGAGAACACCACAGCAGCUCAAAGCCUGCAUUUCAAACUGCAGAAAAGAAGACAAAGAGGAUAAAUGUACUGAAAAAAUAAGAAAAUCAAAAUUAAAGGAAAUAUCGGCUCGUAGACCAUAGCCAUUAAACCCA